GAGGCUGUAGCUCAGCGGUAGAGCGCCCGGCAUGGACCGGGAGGUCGGGGGUUCGAUUCCCUUCAGUUUCGCCA
rnacentral:tRNA from 1 species